GAAUGCUGACAUAAGUAACGAUAAUGCGGGUGAAAAACCCGCACGCCGGAAGACCAAGGGUUCCUGUCCAACGUUAAUCGGGGCAGGGUGAGUCGACCCCUAAGGCGAGGCCGAAAGGCGUAGUCGAUGGGAAACAGGUUAAUAUUCCUGUACUUGGUGUUACUGCGAAGGGGGGACGGAGAAGGCUAUGUUAGCCGGGCGACGGUUGUC
rnacentral:rRNA from 2 species